GACCAAGGGUUCCUGUCCAACGUUAAUCGGGGCAGGGUGAGUCGACCCCUAAGGCGAGGCCGAAAGGCGUAGUCGAUGGGAAACGGGUUAAUAUUCCCGUACUUGGUGUUACUGCGAAGGGGGGACGGAGAAGGCUAUGUUGGCCGGGCGACGGUUGUCCCGGUUUAAGCGUGUAGGUGUGUGUUCCAGGUAAAUCCGGUUCACUUUAACACUGAGGCGUGAUGACGAGGCACUACGGUGCUGAAGCAACAAAUGCCCUGCUUCCAGGAAAAGCCUCUAAGCAUCAGGUAACAUCAAAUCGUACCCCAAACCGACACAGGUGGUCAGGUAGAGAAUACCAAGGCGCUUGAGAGAACUCGGGUGAAGGAACUAGGCAAAAUGGUGCCGUAACUUCGGGAGAAGGCACGCUGACACGUAGGUGAAGUGAUUUACUCAUGGAGCUGAAGUCAGUCGAAGAUACCAGCUGGCUGCAACUGUUUAUUAAAAACACAGCACUGUGCAAACACGAAAGUGGACGUAUACGGUGUGACGCCUGCCCGGUGCCGGAAGGUUAAUUGAUGGGGUCAGCGCAAGCGAAGCUCCUGAUCGAAGCCCCGGUAAACGGCGGCCGUAACUAUAACGGUCCUAAGGUAGCGAAAUUCCUUGUCGGGUAAGUUCCGACCUGCACGAAUGGCGUAAUGAUGGCCAGGCUGUCUCCACCCGAGACUCAGUGAAAUUGAACUCGCUGUGAAGAUGCAGUGUACCCGCGGCAAGACGGAAAGACCCCGUGAACCUUUACUAUAGCUUGACACUGAACAUUGAGCCUUGAUGUGUAGGAUAGGUGGGAGGCUUUGAAGUGUGGACGCCAGUCUGCAUGGAGCCGACCUUGAAAUACCACCCUUUAAUGUUUGAUGUUCUAACGUGGACCCGUGAUCCGGGUUGCGGACAGUGUCUGGUGGGUAGUUUGACUGGGGCGGUCUCCUCCUAAAGAGUAACGGAGGAGCACGAAGGUUGGCUAAUCCUGGUCGGACAUCAGGAGGUUAGUGCAAUGGCAUAAGCCAGCUUGACUGCGAGCGUGACGGCGCGAGCAGGUGCGAAAGCAGGUCAUAGUGAUCCGGUGGUUCUGAAUGGAAGGGCCAUCGCUCAACGGAUAAAAGGUACUCCGGGGAUAACAGGCUGAUACCGCCCAAGAGUUCAUAUCGACGGCGGUGUUUGGCACCUCGAUGUCGGCUCAUCACAUCCUGGGGCUGAAGUAGGUCCCAAGGGUAUGGCUGUUCGCCAUUUAAAGUGGUACGCGAGCUGGGUUUAGAACGUCGUGAGACAGUUCGGUCCCUAUCUGCCGUGGGCGCUGGAGAACUGAGGGGGGCUGCUCCUAGUACGAGAGGACCGGAGUGGACGCAUCACUGGUGUUCGGGUUGUCAUGCCAAUGGCACUGCCCGGUAGCUAAAUGCGGAAGAGAUAAGUGCUGAAAGCAUCUAAGCACGAAACUUGCCCCGA
rnacentral:rRNA from 1 species